AAGUCACAACAAAAUUAAAUAGAAAAGACAGAAGUAGCAGCAAACUAACAGCUAAAAACAAAUGAAGCCGCACCUAGGAAAACAAAACAACAUAAGCAUAGAAAAUAAAACCACCUUUAACCAAAACCAAAGCGAUUCAUUUCCAAAUACCAGGCAAAAAUUUCCUUCACAUUUUGUAUCUGAAACGUUUUCGAGAAUAGCACAGAUGAGGAAAAACCAGUAGCUUUGAGACAAACCAUAGAGAUUCAAAAGAACCUUCUCCAUCUUCAAAGCCACAAAAACCUAGCAAGAAACUUGAUGACUCUGGAUCCAGGCCGUCCGGUCCCUUUCCACUAAUAUCCUGACUGAUUCUGGAACUCUAUCAUCCCAAAAUCCAGAGAUUAGUCUUCUUCUUCCUUCCAAAGCCAAAGUAUGUGCUGCUUCAUUCACCAACCAGGGAACAAAAAUCUUUUUGAUAACCGACAGUGAAUCCCCCUCUACAAGCAGCCAUCGAAAACCCAUUUUGAUCGCGAAGAGGAGAGCCCUUUCACACGCCCUCGCUUCGGCCACAAAAGCGUCGACAAUGUCUUCGAACAGAUAAGUUUCUGCCCCUACCACUUCUCAUUUUGAAUCCCUAGCCAGUACUGCUGUUGUAGAAGUUCUAGAGUCAACUUUAAAAGUUACGUCAAAAUUGAUUUUAAUAAAACCAAUUUCUAGGGGGUACCAUCGUUCUGUUUCCGGAGAUCUAUAAAAAAUUCUCAGAUUCUCUUGGCUUAGGCGGAUUUCAUGACCAUAACCUCGAAUGAAUCCAAGCAGUUCCUGUAAAGAAAUUUAACUCCUUCAUAAAUCAACUCAUUUCGUCUUUACCGUAGUGCCCAUAUAGAAAUUGCAAUAAGUUGUAUGUUAUGAUUAUCAGUUGCAGAGAAAGUAUUAACAAAACGACUUUUACAGCUCGAAAAGCCAUCAUCAAGAGCAAUCUUGAUUUUGAGAGAAGCCCAGAUCUGCUGUAAGAUACCACAAGACCACAGCAGAUGGUCAGAAUCUUCAAGAGCUGCUUUACAAAUAGGGCAGUUGACUUCAACCCUUAAACUUCUUUGAAGCAAAUUAUAGUAAUGGGGCAAAAAAUUAUUAAACAGUCUCCAUAAAUGUAUUUUUAUCUUUGCUGGGAUGUUCAAAGACCAAAAGGAUAUGUAAAAAUCCUUAUAGGCCUCGACGUUAGAGGAAGUGUAUGUAGAAUUAUGUAAUAGUUCUGUAACAAGGACCCGGUACUCGCUCUUCACAGAAUACUCCCCAGUGCCUUCAUGUUUCCAGACCAGCAUAUCCUUCGAGUUAGCCUCAGAAAGUAGAAUAGAAAAAAUGCGAGUUGCAUGAUCUUCAUCAACAAUAUUAUAAAUCAGAUCCUUGUUCCAGGUAACCAGGGGUCAUUCCAAAUAUUUAUGCUAGCACCAUUACCAAUUCUCCACAGAAUUCCUUCGUCGAUCAAGUCUCGAGCACUGCAAAUGCUUCUCCAGGAUAAGCAAAAGGUUAUUGAAAAACCAAGGAGUACCCGUAAGCACUCUUUGCAUAUCAGCAUCAUGAAAGAAUUGAAAAAGUUACCAUUUUUCUCCAAGAUCUGAGAUACAUAUCCCUCCUAUGGGAUGCUAUAAAUCAGCCAUUAUGUUACGUAGCAAGGGCAAAUAGACCACACUAUCAGUUAAACAUCUCCCCACCAAACAGAGCUGGUAACUCCUCUCUACUACCGUUGCUUCCUCUUGGAACGCUUCUUCCUCUUCAUCAAUUAAUCGCAAAUUGGCUA